rfam:Triticum aestivum genome assembly, contig: Triticum_aestivum_CS42_TGACv1_scaffold_030979_1BL
CAUGUACUUCCUCUGUUCGGAAUUACUUGUCGUAGAAAUGGAUGUAUCUAGAUGUAUUUUAGUUCUAGAUACAUCCAUUUUCGAGACAAGUGAUUCGGAACAGAGGGAGUACGAC